rnacentral:rRNA from 1 species
AACGAACGCUAGCGGCGUGCUUAACACAUGCAAGUCGAACGAGAAAGGGAGCAAUCCUGAGUAAAGUGGCGCACGGGUGAGUAACACGUGGGUAACGUACCCUCGGGUGGGGAAUAACGGGCCGAAAGGCUCGCUAAUACCGCAUCAGACCACGUCCUCUGUGGAGGAUGAGGCCAAAGGUGGCUGUCGCAAGGCAGUUGCCGCCUGAGGAUCGGCUCGCGGACCAUUAGCUAGAUGGCGGGGUAAUGGCCCACCAUGGCUACGAUGGUUAGCUGGUCUGAGAGGACGACCAGCCACACUGGAACUGACACACGGUCCAGACUCCUACGGGAGGCAGCAGUGGGGAAUAUUGCGCAAUGGGCGAAAGCCUGACGCAGCAACGCCGCGUGGGUGAAGAAGGCC